AAUCAACGCUGGCGGCGUGCCUCAGACAUGCAAGUCGAACGAUUAAAGCUCUCUUCGGAGAGUGUAUAGAGUGGCGCACGGGUGAGUAACACGUAAGUAAUCUACCUUUGAGUGGGGAAUAACCCGGGGAAACCCGAGCUAAUACCGCAUAAUGCAGCGGCACCGCAAGGUGACAGUUGUUAAAGGAGCAAUCCGCUUAAAGAGGAGCUUGCGGCAGAUUAGCUAGNGGUAAGGUAAUGGCUUACCAAGGCUUCGAUCUGUAUCCGGCCUGAGAGGGCGGUCGGACACACUGACACUGAAUAACGGGUCAGACUCCUACGGGAGGCAGCAGUCGGGAAUUUGGGCAAUGGGCGAAAGCCUGACCCAGCAACGCCGCGUGAAGGAUGAAGUAUUUCGGUAUGUAAACUUCGAAAGAAUGGGAAGAAUCAAUGACGGUACCAUUUAUAAGGU
rnacentral:rRNA from 1 species